GACGAACGCUGGCGGCGUGCUUAACACAUGCAAGUCGAACGGAAAGGCCCUGCUUUUGUGGGGUGCUCGAGUGGCGAACGGGUGAGUAACACGUGAGUAACCUGCCCUUGACUUUGGUAUAACUUCAGGAAACUGGGGCUAAUACCGUAUAGGAGCUCCUGCUGCAUGGUGGGGGUUGGAAAGUUUCGGCGGUUGGGGAUGGACUCGCGGCUUAUCAGCUUGUUGGUGGGGUAGUGGCUUACCAAGGCUUUGACGGAUAGCCGGCAUGAGAGGGUGACCGGCCACAUUGGGACUGAGAUACGGACCAGAGUGCUACGGGAGGCAGCAGUGGGGAAUAUUGCACAAUGGGCGGAAGCCUGAUGCAGCAACGCCGCGUGCGGGAUGACGGCCUUCGGGUUGUAAAACGCUUUCGCCUGUGACGAAGCGUGAGUGACGGUAAUGGGUAAAGAAGCACCGGCUAACUACGUG
rnacentral:rRNA from 1 species